rnacentral:rRNA from 1 species
GUAAUAUUCCGGAGAAGGAGCCUGAGAGAUUGCUACUAAGUCUAAGGAUUGCAGCAGGGGCGAAACUUGACCUAUGAUAUGAUAUUGAGGCAGUUAUGAGUAGUAUUUUUAAUUAUUGUAGUAUUGUAAGUAUAUACUACAAGAUAAAUCGGAGGGCAAAUCGAGUGCC